rnacentral:rRNA from 1 species
AGUGGCGGACGGGUGAGUAACGCGUGAGAAUCUGCCUUGGGGUCGGGGACAACCACUGGAAACGGUGGCUAAUACCGGAUAAGCCGAUUGGUGAAAGAUUUAUUGCCCGAAGAGGAGCUCGCGUCUGAUUAGCUAGUUGGUGAGGUAAGAGCUCACCAAGGCAGCGAUCAGUAGCUGGUCUGAGAUGACGAUCAGCCACACUGGGACUGAGACACGGCCCAGACUCCUACGGGAGGCAGCAGUGGGGAAUUUUCCGCAAUGGGCGAAAGCCUGACGGAGCAAGACCGCGUGAGGGAGGAAGGCUCUUGGGUUGUAAACCUCUUUUCUCAGGGAAGAAGCUCUGACGGUACCUGAGGAAUCAGCCUCGGCUAGCUCCGUGCCAGCAGCCGCGGUAAUACGGAGGAGGCAAGCGUUAUCCGGAAUUAUUGGGCGUAAAGCGUCCGCAGGUGGCGAUUCAAGUCUGCUGUCAAAGCACGGGGCUUAACUCCGUAAAGGCAGUGGAAACUGAAUAGCUAGAGUGCCGUAGGGGUAGAGGGAAUUCCCGGUGUAGCGGUGAAAUGCGUAGAGAUCGGGAAGAACAUCGGUGGCGAAAGCGCUCUACUGGACGGCAACUGACACUCAGGGACGAAAGCUAGGGGAGCGAAUGGGAUUAGAUACCCC